CAACUGCUCAUGUAAUGGUGAAGAAAAAAGAGUUCAGUUUACAGGGUUAGGAUAUGAGUGAUUAUGGACAGUGUUAAAUUAAUUGAGUGUGAUUACAGUUAGCAGUUAGCAGGCCUAAUCGUGGUCAGUUCUAGUUUAUGUUAUUAAUGUCAGUAAUGUCAGUGAGGCUGAUGUUCAUGUCUGCAGUAACAGUUCAGAGGAAUCCAAGAGAAGAAGGGGCUCAGGGCCUGAGGCGGACAAUCGUAGACGAUGC